UUUUUAUACUGAUCUGCUACAAUCGGUCCUACCAAACCCCACUCUGCGACCCACCAGAUCAAACUCUACCCAUAGAUCUUGCUGAUGAAAGUUCCCGAUUAUAUUGCUCGCAACUCCCAGCAAAUCUGACCGUCCGAUCCCCAGGCACUGAACUCCACCCCCCACGUCGGCUAACAUCUUCUCUCUUUCCACCACAAUUUCCACCCCAUUCUCAAACUCAAACGCCAUGUUGCCUAUCAUCCGUCCGAUCACCAUCGCGUCCCCAUCAAAACACAUGUCCAAGGAUCCACCGUACACGUACCCCUUCUUCAAUUUUGGCCCUGCUAGCUUCACAAUCUCCUCCUUCACUUUACUGUAGGCUUCGUCCACCAAGAAGGUGAACCACGUACCCGAAUCGAUCAAGGUCUGACCUGCUCCACUCGGAUCUGCUCGGAACGCUGACGUGGAAAUAUUGAGCUUUUUCCCAUUGAUUCGGAUCCCUAGCAUUGGAAGAGUGUAGGCCAGAGGGUCGAGAUUGGGCAUGCGUUGACUCUGACGGUAAGUCAUGAGAUUCACGUACUUAAACCCGGCUGAACUCGGGUUCGGACCCAGGUAAAAGGACCCGGUCGGAGAUGACCCGGAUUGGCUCCGGCGAGGUGGGACACAAUAGGAGAAUUUGGAGAUCUUAGCGAGAGAGGAGAAGGACAACCGGCCAAGGUUCAUUCCCAAAAUGCCCUGGGUGUCGCUGGAGUCCGUGGCGCAGCCGAGGAUCAAAGGAGGAGUAGUUUGGGAGCUGGAGAAUGUGAAUUUUUCUCUGACGAGAUUGCCCUCGGCGUAGGUGCCGUCAGCGUAGAAGUAAGAGUAAUGGCAGAGGCGAUUCUGGUCGCAGGAGGUGGGGAGGGUAUAAUCGGGAACUCGUGGUUUACAGAGAGAGUGGUUGCAGGGCAGAACAGAGAAGGAAGAAGAGAGCAAAGGGUCAAAAGCGGUGGGAGGAGUCUUGGGAGGAACUUUGCACUGGAUCCAAGACAAUUGGCUGCCGGUGUCCAACACCAUCUGUUGGGUCUGGGGCGGAGUCCCAAUAGGCAGAGAAACGAUCAAAGCCAUAGAAUACUUGAAAGAAGAUCUGUAGUUAUAGGACGUGGUUUUGGUAUUUGGGUUUUGCUUGAACUGCGAGGCGAGAGAAGAGGAGAAAAGGGAGUUUUUAGAAUGAGAAGAGAGAGGGAUAGAAGUAAGAGAGAAGGAGAGAGAAUGGUUUGAGGGCUUUGGAUAUGAGAGGGAAACGAGAGAGGCGAAGAGGAAGAAGAGAAGGAGAGGGGUGGAGGGAGCCAUAGCUGCAGCUGGAUGCCCGUAUGUGAUGUCAGUGUGGGAUUUUCUGUUUGCGUUUGGAGUUUGUAUUUAUAGUUGGAAGGAGCACAGCAAAAGUCCAAAAAAGCAAACCGCGUAUUUUUAAUUCAGUGGUUAUAUUUUCUAAUCAAACUUACUUAAUCCGCUAACUCUCCUUUAUUUUUUUUUUCUUUUUUUCUCUCUACUCGGUGGGCCUCCUGCCGUCUAACUUCUUGCAAGUUACAAACUUACAACUCAAAAGGCCAUGCACCUUUUACCUCUUUGGUAUCUGAAAAUUGUCAUUAUCAAACUUGUGUUACUAGAAUUUGAAUUUUCCCAAGGCAUUUCACAACAGAAAAUAAGACAAGAUAUUUCAUUCUUCUACUAUGCUAUCCGAUCACUUAUUAUGCAAAUUUGUGUUAAAAGUUGAAUUCUGCAAUAAAAAUAAAUCUAAAUAUUUACUCUCAAACUUUAUAUUUCAGAAUUUUUAUGAUUAAAACUUAAUAAAAUUACAAGAAAAAUUAUUGCCCAAAUUUUACACAUUAAAAAUGUGCGUUUCAUUCAUAGAAAUUGAAGUAUAGAGAAAAUUAAAAUUGUGACAAAAUUGGAUUUUAGUUUUUUCACUAGAAAAUUCUUAAUUCAUAUUCUUCGAUCAGAUUUUGAUCAUCUUAUCUUGUUCUUUAACCAUCCCAUUUAAAAAUAUUUAUAGUAUUCAACCACCUUCAUUUGAGAGAUUCAUCUGUCUAAUAUACUAAUAAUAUUGUUAUAAAUCAAUGUCCUUCUAAAAUGAAGUUAACUUUUCGAUCAGACUUUCUGUCAUUUUAUCUAAAAACUAAUUAACAUCUGAUGGAGAUAAAUCAACCUUCUUAUAACAUGUUAUCAUAAUUAUUUAAGUGAUUUAUUCCCUAAAUUAAGAUGAACAAUAAUAAUCUCCCUCCCAACAUGAGGGUCCGAUGGCUCAAAUCAUGACCCUUAGUUUUAAUAUCAAUUUUUGGAUUGAACUUUAACUAUUCUAUUUUAAAAUCCAUUGAUGCCCAAUAAGAGUAGAUCAAGCCUUUAAAGAAAUUUGAUUCUCAUCAUUUGAGUGGUCAAUCCUCACUUGAAAAACAAUAUUGUUGCACCCCAAUACAUAUUCUCAUUUAUUAACAAAUUCAAAUAUAUUAAUAAUUUAAAAAGGAAAAUGGAUUUCCUCUCAUUAAUCCAUAUUUAAAUGUUUCAAACAAUGUCAUUAAGUCACAAAUUUUGGAGCAAAACAAAAAAUAAAUAGCCAAGAAAAAAAUUCAGAAAGAUAAAAUACCCAAAAGGUUGUCAUAAGAUGCAAAACAUCAUUAAAUAUUAAAACAUAUGAUCUUCAUGGGUUAUGCUCAUUCAAUUCAUAAGCAUAUCCCUUUAUUUAAAUAAAGAAGAGCCCAAAGUGACAACACUUGGUCGGAGGUGUUUGAAUUCCAACAAUUCUUUGCCCAAAGUUCGUUGGAUAUAUAUAAAAAUGAGCUUUUUGUUUAUUUAUUGAUGAAGUGUUCAUCAUCAUAGCAUCAAAUUAUUUAAAAGAAGAAAUACCCAAUAAUUCUUGUGUGCAUUUAUUUUGCAAUAUGAUUAGCAUAGAAUAAUAAUAUUCAUAGUGAAAUAUUCCCUUCAUAUUAUCUUUGUAGAACAAAUUGACUUAGUGGGUCCUUAGACCUUACGUGGUUCAUACGCACAAAGACUUGCUUUUCUCAAUACAGAUGCCCCCCACUUUAGAGUCUCCAUUGCAACGUAGCCACUAAAAAUGCUAUAACUUAAAGGUGAUGUAUUUUCAUUUUUAUUAUUAAUAAUAAUAAUUACAAAAAUAAUUAUUACUAUUAAAUUUAGUCAUAGUUAUUAGUGACUAAUAAAUUUGGUAGAUCUAACAAAGUUGUUUUUUUUGCAAAUAUAAAUUGUUAUUUCAUUUAAAUUAUCCAAAUUUAUAACCAAAGUGUUUUUAUGUAUUGUGUUAAGAUUUUCAGAGUCUAAUUAUUAUCGUAAUACUAAUGAUAUUUUAAGUUAUGAUAUUUUGGGGAUUUUACAUAUGUAAUUUGGUUAUUUUAUUUAUAUUAUAUUUAUGAUAACCAAUUUUUAACUUUUAUAGAGAGGUCUUUAGGUAUCGAAAGAGAUAAAAAAAUGCAAACAGAAAAAUCUAGACAAUGAGACAUUUUUGAAAUUCUCUUGUAGUCUCUUUUCAUCGUAGUAAAAAUCUACGGUAAGUAUAAGUGGAUGUAUCUCUCACAUUGAGAGUAAAUCAUUAUAAAUCUAGUAUGUUUUUGCACUUUAUUUUUUCUAUUGGUUUAUUUUCACUUUCAGAAAAUAGGAUUAUGGUGUUUUAAUCCUAACAACAUAUGCCGAGGAGAUUUAAAAACUAUUUAUUUCUUAUAUUAGAUAGUACGAAAGAUAGAUUAAUAAAAAAUAAUAAAAUGUUGUAAAUUUCCAAAAUUUUGAAUAAUUAUAUAUAUAGUUAAUUAAGAUAGCUUAGACUAGGUGGGUGUAAAUAAUAGUAAGGGUAUCGUGAAUGGGGUGAAGAUGAUUUGUCGGAAAGAUGGAGGUAAAGAUCAUAAAUCAAGAUUUGUCGGAAAGUUGGAGCAACCAACGUAAGCAAUGGAUAAGUGGGGGAUGGGGAUUGCACUGAAGGAUUGACUUCAGUGCAGCAAGGAGCUGGAUGAAGAUAAGAGAAGAAUAUCAUAUUCACACUCAUAGUAGUGUAUGCGUGUAGAGUAGAAAGAAGGAAUAGAGUCAGCAACUGGCAAAAGGCGUCAAACCCCGACAUUACGCCUCCAAUGGGAUGCACACGCUUGUUCCACAGGGGCGGAGCCACAUUGCCUCUAAGUCCAUCCAUGCGUUAAGUGGACAAAGACCCAUUGGUUCGAUCUUGGAUUGGUUUGAUGUCUUUCAAGACUUUCUAAGAAAAACAUUUAACAUUGUAUAUAUAUUUUUUACUUAAUUUUUUAUUUCAUAAUUUUUUUUCGAAGCUUAAAGGCUAUGUUUGAUUUCCUAAAAAUGUAAGGAAAAAUGCAAGAGAAAAAAAAUAAAAAAAGAGGAAAAAUAACAAUGUAUUUAAUAUUAAUAAAUUAUUUUUAUAUGCUACUUCAAACUAAUUUUACUUAUUUUCACUUUCUAAUAUAAAGAUUAAAUUAUUUGAAAAUACAUAAAUUUUUAAUUAAUGUUAUUUAUAUAUAUAUAUUUUUAUUAUUUUCUAUAAAAUAACUAAACAUGAGAAAAUUAUUUUUUUUUUAAUAUUUUUUUUCUUUUCUUAAUAUUUUUCAGGAAUCAAACAUAACCAAAAGGAAAAAAAAUAGACCACAUAACUAAUUUUAUUUUGUCUUCAAUGUUGCUAAAAACCUUAAUCAUUUUUUCAAAGUUUCAAUCAAAGAAGACUCGAGUACUGAAAAUGAAGAUAUUGGAAAUUGAUGAAGAGGGAUUAGACAUGCAAACGGAAGUCUAUGUUGAUAUGAAUUGGGAUACCGAAAUUUGAGGUUCACAACAAAACACUUAGCCCAUGCCACAAAAAUACAAAUGGGGUUCAAGUAGUUGACCCAACGUUUGAUAUCUAAAGCUCAUGGCCACAAUCAUAGCUAAAACAUCUUAUUCCCAACAACUCAUCCCCACUUGGUUUGCCCAAAUUAACAUCAAGCCAACCAUUCAAAUUAUUUUCAUUUUUCUACUUAUUGUCCCAUGGUUAGAAUUUCUUUUUUUUGACCAAGAAAUUGUCACCAAAUGCUUUAAUGUUGCAAUUAAAAUCACAGUCCCUCUUUGUUAUUAAAAGGAAAAGAUAUCGUAUUCAAUUAUCAUAUGGCGGAAAAGAUGGUAGAAAUGGCAAAUAUGGAAAAGACUUUCCCCUUUUGCUUGAACUACCAACUGCCCAAUUUAUACUCAAAACCAGCCAGCAAUUAAAAUAUCUUCUCUCAAUUGCUCAUUUGCUUUAUUAGCCCUUUUUCUUUUCUUUUUCUUCCUUCUCUUAGGACACCUUCUAAUAUUGAACAACCGACAGCCAAAGGAUAAAAAUGAUGAUAUAAACUUUCUAGAUUGACAAGCAAUUGUUUGUUUGUAAUUAAUUUUUUUUCUCCAUAAAUAAUAUAAAUAUAAUAAAAAUGAAAAAAAAAAUUAUUUAUAGAUUUUGGCUUUUUUUUUUUUUGAACGGAAAAGGAAUACAUGACGAGCUUAUGUAUGUAGUAUAAAAAAGUAACCCUUAAUAAAAAAAAUUAUCUAACUCUUAAAAAUGUCCCAAUUACUUGUGGGUUUGAUUUUUAUCUUAGCAAAUUUUUAAAGAUAAUUUUGUGAAAUUUUUUACUUUUAUCUUAAUGAAAAAAGUCAUUUUUUUUAAACUUUAAUUUUAUUAUAAUACUUAAAUCUAAUUUUUCACAUUGAAAAUUUUGAAUAAUUCUUGUUUGAAAACCAAAAUAAACUACCUCAAUUUUUUGCAAUUGAAUAAGAAAUGAAUCUAUUAAUACUCUACAAAGUUGUUAUCGAAACAAAACCAAGUAUAGGUUUUGCUUUUGUCCAAUUUUUUAAGCAUAAUAGGCAUUUGAUAAGUUAGGUAUUGUUUGAUAACUAUUUUUAAAAUUUUUAAUUAUUUAUAAUUAAAAAAUAUUGAAAUGUGCUUGAUAAUAAAAAAAAAAAUAGAAAAUAAUUUUAUAUUCUUUAAAAAAAAAAAAAAACAGUUUUCAUGUUUUUGAAAACAUAAAACAAGUUAAGAACAUUUCAAGUUUCAAAACAAACUUUUAUUCUACAAAAAUAUCAAACAAUUAUUAUUAAAAAUUGUUCUUAAAAACUAAUUUUUAAAACUAUUUUCCAAAACACUUCUCAAACUAUUAUAUAUAUAUAUAUAUAUUUUUUUUUUGGAUAUUUAGGGUUUGUUUGGAAUUGACUUUUAAAAUAAUUUUUUGUUCUUUGAAACAAAAAACAUAGAAAACACGUUUAGAAACCAAAAACUUUUUUUGUUUUCUAAAAAUAUUUAUUACUUGUUUUUUUUAAUGUUUUUAUUUGUUUUCUAAAAACAGCUUUAAGAAAUAAUUAUACAAAUAUGUAAAAUGAUUAAAAAUAAAAAACUAGAUAUAAAAAUUAUUUUUAAAAAUAUAAAAAAUGAGUUAAAGUUAUUUUAAGUUUUCAAACAAACUUUGACUCUAUUUAAUAACUGUUUUCGAAAAUAAUUAUGAAAAAUAGUUUUUAGAAACAGUUUUUAAAAGUUGUUCUUUGAUUUUUGUAAAACAAAAGUCUAUUUAAAAACUUAAAAUGCUUUUAACUUAUUUUUAAAUAUAAUUUAAAAAUAAUUUUUAUAUCUAAUAUUUUAUUUUUAAUUAUUCUAUAUUUUUAUAUAAUUAUUUAUUAAAAUAGUCCUAGACAAACAAAUGAAAAUAAUAAAAAAUAAUUAAAAAAAUAUUAUAUAAAAACACCAUAUUUUAUAUUCUUAAAUAAUCAAAAAUAGAAAACAGUUUUUAAUUAUCAAACAUGUUUUUUAUAUUUUUUGUUUUGAAGAACAUAAAACUUAUGUAAAAAAUUGUUCUCAAAUAAACCCUUUUAUUCUACCAAAAUUAGAGAACAAUUUAAAAAAACCGCUUUCAAAAACUAUUUUUAAAAAUAAUUACCGAACGGAACCUUAAUUAUCCAAAAUCUUGAAGGGGCAACAUCUUUAGGAAUAAAGGAAAGGAAGAUCCUGGAUAAAAAGGUAAAGAAAUAGACAGAUAAUAAUGAAGUGACGUUGGGAUAGUGAAAUAUUCACGGAUCAUGGAGGAGCGCCCAUCACGGGCAGUCCAAUAUAAAGUGUAAAAAACGAAGGAGAGAGUGUUACACUCUGACACAAACAGGAAGUGAGAUACAUCCAACACUUGGAUAUUUGUCUUCGUGAGAACAUAAUGGAUUGUUGUUGACUUGCUUCCUUUGAGAUCCCUUUCUACGACGGCAUUGUUUUGCCAUAUCUAUGUUCACGUUCACGUCAUCACGUGAGUGAGAUAGCACUAAGGCCUUCCUUUCUUUUUCCGCGUAAACAUAUCUCAACUGUCCCUCCUCCGGAUUGAUUGCCAAGUUUUUUUUGCUUCAUGCACCCGCCCUUUAUUGCCGGCUACAUUUGAUUGAUUCAUAGAAAUUUCAAUUUUUUAUUUAGGUAGAAAGUGGUUAAAAUUUGGAGAAAAAAAUAUUUGUAACCCCUACUUUAGCUUGUUUGAUGGUUUUUCUCAUGGGUAAAAAGUGGAAUGUACCCUUUAAUUUUUUUCGCUUCUAGAAGGGAUUAUCAAAUUAUUUAUAGGAAUACUCAAACAUCACAUCUCAUGUUAUAACCCAUUCGAGAUUUUAUAUUAAUAGCUCAAAAAUAAUAAGAUCAUGGUAUAACCCAAAAUCAAGAUCAUGUUUAAUUAUCAAAGAAAAUAAAUUUGAAGCAUACUUGGAUCCAUUAUAACAGUGUAGACCCCCAUUUAGGCAUGAGUCACUUUUUCUCUAUUUGUUUUUGCAGAUCACAUUUUUAGCCAGGUGUCACUAUCCCAACGGGCCACGUGUCACAUCCUUAGUGGCCAUAAGAAAUCCACCUCGCUUUUUGAAGCUAUAGUAGGACUUUGACACGUGGAGGAACUUUCUGGAAGGGGGUCCCGCAGGCCGUCAAGGGGUGCGGAUGAGAGAGAAGGAAAGGUGGUUGCAGAAGGAGGGGUGCAGGAAAGGUGGCUGCGGCAGAGAUCGUUGGAAAGGCAAAUCCGAGAAACAUAGGAGUUUUUCCUAAAAGGGAGGACAGAGACAGAAGAAAAAAGAAAAAAGGAAAGAAAAACGGGAGGAGGUUUUCUGAAAGGGGGGAGGGGACAACAUUGUGGAGGAACGGAGAAGUUUUUCUGAGAGUUUUGAGGGAAAGAGUAUUGGUUGAAUUGCAGUAGGAAGCUAAGAAUAGAGGAGCGUAGAGUUGCUGGGAAGAGUCCAGGACACGAAGCUGAGAAGGGAGAUUUCCAGGUAUGCCCAUUUGUUUUUUUUUUUUUUUGUAUAUAUUUUCCAUUUUUUUUUCAUACUGUCCAGGUCUGAUUGUCAGUGAUUUUUCAUUUCUGCUUGUUGGGUUGUUCUGUUUUGGUGAUUACUGAUUAAAUAUUGGAAGAGUUUGCUGUGUUUUAUGCCCUAUUUUGACGAAUAUUUUCCAUCGUAACUCACUGGAUGUUGGACCCAUGGAUGAAACGAUGAAAUGGGUCCGAUAUGCUGGUUAAAGUCUUCAUGUUCUUCUUCUUGUUGCUAUCCUGUUAUCUCCUUGUUUUCUUUUCCUCCCUGAGUGCAUACUCAAGGCUCCAAAGUCGAGAGAAAGUUUGGGUUGAAGUGGAACCUGGCAUCCGAUGGUGUGGUGGUCCGUGGGCAAGAUCUUCAGGUCCGAGUUGAAGUGCGAGGUGGAUUCAUCAGAAUAAGAGGAGCACAUUUUGUGAUGAAUGGUAGCCCUUACUAUGCCAAUGGCUUCAAUGCCUACUUGGUUGAUGUAUUUGGUUCCUGACCCAUCUCAACAGGCCAAAGUCUCAGUUGCUUUCCGUGAGGCUUCAAGCCAUGGCCUCCUUGUGGCUAAGAUCUGGGUUUUCAGUGAUGAUGAGAACAGGCCUUUUCAGUUUUCUCCAGGCUUUCACAGUCAGCAAAUACCCAAGGUUGCGUACUACCAGACAUAUUUGUCGGCUAGACGUGGAGGCAUCUGCUAGUGGCCUGCCCAUUGUGUUUAUGUCCAUGCACAUGACUUCACUCUGCAUGAUCCCUAUCUCUAUUCUCAUGCAAGUGUGUCGUCAUCUCAUCCCUAUGUUUUUUUUCCCUUAUCCACCAUACCCAUCGUUCAUUUAUCUGCCUUUCUCUCUAGGUCGUCAUACCCAUUUCCUCACUCAAGCUUGCAGGAAUCAAGCAUCCUCCACCACACCCAUUUUCCUCUCAUUCAUUCUCCAUCCCACUUCCUCACUUACAUGGAGUCUCACGGGUGCAUGCUAUCCUUCACUCAUUCGCAUACCCAUUAAAACCACUCACUCAAGCCUCCAUAUCCAUACAACCCACCAAACCCGUUUCUCUCUCUAAACUUUCACCUACCUGUGGGAUCCUCCCUAAAAAAAUGCCACGUGGCUCUCUCUCCCUUGCACAUGCAAACGGUCCCCCUUGCUACACGAGGCAUAGCUCAUUCCACCCGGAGAAGAAUUCUGUCCGGCCGACGUUCAACCCUCUCCGGAUAUAUCACAUUCGGAAUUCUGUUCGGCCGACGUUCCACCUUCUCCGGAUGUCUCACAUCCGAAAUUCUGUCCGGCCGACGUUCCACCUUCUCUGGAUGUCUCACAUCCGGAAUUCUGUCCGGCCGACGUUCCACCUUGUCCGGAUGUCUCACAUCCGGAAUUCUGUCCGGCCAACGUUCAACCUUCUCCGGAUAUCUCACAUCCGGAAUUCUGUCCGGCCGACGUUCCACCUUCUCCGGAUGUCUCACAUCCGAAAUUCUGUCCGGCCGACGUUCAACCUUCUCCGGAUAUCUCACAUCUGGAAUUCUGUCCGGCUGACGGUCCACAUUUUUCUUCAUCCUUAGAGCAUUUUCUUGAGGUUCCCAAGAUCUCAUUUUCAAUAAAUUUUGUCGUGAAACUGAUUCACCCAAUAGUAAACGGGCUUUGGUGGGGGCCCUAUGAUUACUACUCAAAAAGUGCUAUUUGAUAGCUUGUAAUUAACUCUUUUAAACACUUUUGAGUAGUAGUUAUUGCCUUUUAACCCAAUUAACAUGUUAAGGACCCUUGCAAUCAAUUCUAAUCAAAUUGUGUUAAGUUUUGGUGUUUUGAUAGCUUUUUUAUCACCAAAGCAAUUUAAGAAUGAGGGAGAGCUGUAUAUAGUUCAUGGCAAAGCUUUUGGAAGCUCAAAUUCAUGAAGAAACCCAGCUUUGGAGCCCCAUAUCCCUUUUCCAAAGUCGUUCAAAGUAUGCAAGGAGAGAAGCAAGGAGAGAGGAAAAACAGAGUGAAGAAAACAGAGGACAGCAGCUGCAGUCUUCUUUCACACUUUUGGAGCACUUUCCGAAGUCCAUUUUCUACAUGCUAUAUACCAUUUCAAAGCUCAGGAAGUCAAGAAUCCAACGCUUCAAACCGUGUAUGAUUUGGAGCUGAAAUGAGGAAGUUACAGCCUUUGGAAGAUGACUGCUCCAAGCUGAAGGAAGGAUUCAGCAAAGUGUUGCGAAAUCACCCUUUUGUUGCGGAAUGAUUUCGCAGCCUUUUUGCACAGUGCUUUGGAUUUCCCUUGAAGUUUCACGCCGCGAGAUGAAAGCCAACUUCGCAGCCCUGCGAGAAUAACUUGUUGUUGCGAAUUGAUUUCGCAGCCCUUCUUGAGUGCCUGCGAAAUCUCGCAGACACCAUUUUCUCUUGCGAAAUGGUCCUUAGUGCUUCCCGAUAUUUGUGACCGACACUUUGAGAUAUUUUUCUUCAGAUUUUUGUGUCUAAAUUUCCAUUUUCUCCUUGUAUUCAGCCACUCAUGUAAUUCCUUAGCUAGGAAGUAUCCAAGGAAGGGUAAAUUACCUUCCUAUAUAAACUCUCUUGUAAACACUAAGAAAGGACUCUCAGAGAGAUCAUGUAAUCGAUCAAUAUAUAGAAUAUACAGAGCCUUGCUCUGUUUUUCCUUCUCUUUCAUUUUUCAUUUCUUUUUAUUUCUAGCCAACCAAACUUUGAGGAUUUUUCCUCAGAGGAUGAAAGGCUAAGCUUUUUGUCUCUUGGAGUAAGGAAAGCCGGGUAAGUUUCCACAUGUAUAAUUUGGAAGUUUUGUUGUUUUAGUUUUUAAUGAAGAGAAAGUGUAGCCCGUUAAUGGUUUUUAUCUUUUUAGUUAACUUAAAACGCCUUUAAAUCACCUAGGCCAACACUUGGUAAGGCAAGUGAUCUCCGUCCAUGGAGAUGCACUAGUUUACCCCUUGCGAGCCUUUGGGAGGUGGUUUGAAGGUAGGAUUUUCUAGAAUAGCCAACACUUGGUAAGCUUUUGGACUCCAAGGAGACAUCCAUUAGUUAUCUCUUGCGAGCUUUUGAAGGGUAAUCCAAGGUUAAAGAUCACCUUGAAUGGCAAGUGCUAGGUGAGAGGUAUGAGCCAUUGCAAGAUGCAUCAGUGAGAGGGAUUUAGUGUUUGAACCCAUUAAAGGGAAGCAUCUGUACAACACCGGUUAGAGAAUUAACUAUAUGUUAAUUCUCUAAUGCGAGGAAAAGAAACAAGUGACCGGAUCUCUCUUUUUUGUAUGAGGAACCUGAGCCUAGUGAUCUGAAACUCCAAGAAACACUUUUCUUUGUAAGUAAAAUCAGUUACUAUUUUUGGUUAGUUUAAAUCUAAACCUUUUUCAUUCAAACAUCUUUAUGUUUUCUUUUAAAGCUAACCUUGAAAUGAAAAGACACCAAUUCAGCUUUGAAUUAAUAACAUUUGCAAAGUGAAAACCCAUCCCAGUGAACGAUCCUAGAGCCACUAUACUAUAGUAGCUUUGUCUUUGCUACCCUAGUAUAUGGUGUAAUAGGUUAUAAAUUUUGUUGAUUAAUCCCUCAAUCAAGGAGCACUAGCUGGACACGAAUCAGCUGAGACACCAAUUGGACAUGAAUCAAAUGGCGCCGUUGCCGGGGACCGAACCCCGAAUCAAAUGGUGCCAUUGCCACUGCCGCUGCUAGGGACGAAUCAAAUGGCGCCGUUGCCGGGGACCGAACCCCGAAUCAAAUGGUGCCAUUGCUACUGCCGCUGCUAGGGAUGAAUCACCCCACAUAUGUGACUGAUCGAUUGAUUUACUUGAUUAUCAUACAUAAUUGAUUUAUCCUGCUCUUUGAUAUGUAUGCUAUUGUUUCUUAAUUGAACACUAACCUUCCUUCUUGAUAGCGCAUGGUGGCUCAUUGCCUAGGUACGUACCCACUUUCACUCUGAUCAGUGUCUAUGCAUGUUCUGAUUUUCACAUGUGCAUGAUUUAUUCGGGGUAUCCAUUGAUUUAAUCAUCAAUUUCCACGUCAGCUUCAUUUUAUUAGUAGAGACCGACUUUAGAGGCUUAGAGGGGUGUUACGGUCUUUACCGUAUCUUCCCGAUAAGUAACCUGACCCCCGAACCCGAUCCGGUUUUUCACAGACCACCUUUUUCAAACUAAGGAGUCACACUUAGGGUUUUUUCUUUCUUAUUUUGUUUACCCUUUAAAAAAUAAAACAAAAAUAAGUGGCGACUCCAAGUCAUUUUUUUUAACCGAUUAAAUCAUUUUUCAAAAUAAAAAUCGAGCUCGCCAUCGAGUGGGGAACGCAUGAGCCGAAAUGCGGGGUCCACACAUAGGGAAACGAGAGUUUAGUCUUUCACAUCUAAACAUUUCUUCUUUAAAGAGAAAAAUCUUAUUUCACUCAACGAUGAUAUAUAUGAGUAAAUUCUCUAGAUUUGUUUAGGCUGAGAACCUCAACCUAUUUAUAUUUUUAAUUUAAUUUUAUUGUUGAUCCAUCAUAAAAAUAAAAUAAAAUAAAAUCAAGUGGCAUUUACACAUUAAAAUCCACAUUUAUUGAGACGCCUAAACCCGAUAAAAAAACUUAUUUGAUCACUUUAAUGGGUAAAAAUGAUAGCUAAUAAUUUACUAUCAAUAUAUGUGAGCCCAUUUUAAUAAUUUUCCAAUAAUAAAUAAAAAUGAGUGGAUCUCAUUCUCUAUCUUUCUUAUCACUUGUAACAAAAAAAUUAUUAGGAUAUUUUUUUUCUAUUUUUCUCAAUACUUAUGAUAAAAAUAUUGCCACCAUUGAAAUCAAUUCUUAAAAAGUGUUUGUUAAAUCAAUUUAAUAACUUAAUAUAAUUUAAUUAAUAAAUUAAUUUAAGUUAUUAAGUAUAUCAUAUAUGUUGGACAAAGUAGCUAACAUAUCAAAAUAUUUAACUUUUUAAAAUCCCCCAAAUAUCUUUUGUUUUAGUUUUUUAGAUCUCUUUUAUUUUUAUAAUAGUGCUCAAUAUUACUAAGAGUACAUUUGCUAAUUUAAUAAUUAAAAAUUUUGAAGUUAGUUUUAUCAAAUCAUCUUAAUGAUUAAAGUAAGAGUUAAAUAAUAAGUUUUAAAUUAAUAAUUUAAAUAUAAUUUAACUUAAAAUUAUCUAAAAUUGUCAAGUAUUAAUUUUUUUUAUUUUUUUUUAUAAAAACCACUUUAGAUCCUAUUUAAGAUCUCAUCCAAUCUUAAAUAUUUAAGGAAAUUAAAUAAAGUCAUGUACUCCACAACUUAGUUGAAAAAUGAAAAAAAUUGUUACUUACUUGAGAUGGAGAAAUGAUAACGCAAUUUUUUUUUUUUUUAAAAAUAGAAAGUAUUUUCAUCUAUUUUUCUAAAAGGAAAAUAUAUAGAGAUUAAAAAAACUAUAAAAAAAAUAAAAUAAAAUAAAAUAUGAUAUCUUUUUUCUUUUCUAUUUAAGAUCUAAUACCAAUAAAAAAAAUCUUCAAAUAUAAUAUUGAUUUGAACUACAACAAUUUUUUUUUUUAAUAUUUUCUUCAACUUUUUUUGAAAUUUUUUAUGAAACAAAAAAAAAAAAAAAAUCAAAUCAAAAUAGACUAAAUGCAUAAAAUUUAGUAAUUUUUAAAAAUAAUUUGAAAUUAAAAAAUUAAUUUAAUUAGUAAUAGAGAGUCAUGAAAGUUAAUAAUAUUAUAAAGUUAUAGAUCAAAAUUUAUUUUGAAUUAUUUAACUAUUUUCUUCUUGCAUAUAAUAAUUUUUUUUUUUUUUGCAAUAGAGUUAAGUAUUUUUUUUUUAAAAUAAUUUAAGAUUCAAGUAAUAAUCCAAUCAAUACUAGAAAUUUAUGAACAAAAAUUGGUAUAAAAUAAAUUUAUUGUUUCCCCUCUACAUAGAACCAUAUUUAUUUAUUUAUUUUUUUUACUAGACAAAUAAAAUUCAAAUUAAGCAAGACUAAAUAUACUAAAUUUAUUAAUAGUUUAUUAAUUUUUAAAAUAAUUUAAAACUCAAAUAGUGACCUAAUUAAUAUCAUAAAUUUAUAGAUAAAAAUUGAUUCAUAAUGAUUUUAUUAUUAUUUUUCUAUAUAUAAUUAUAUUUUUAUAAAUUUUCUGACUAAAGAAAUGAUCUUUAAAUCAAGUAAGACCUUACCUUUAAUUUAUUAAUAAGUUUAAUAAUUUUUAAAAAUAAUUUGAAAGUUAAAAAACCGGUCCAAUUAAUUGUAAAUUAAAUUAAAACAUUUCAGAAUACUUUAUUCAUAAUUUGAUACUAAAUGUAUGCAUGUAAUUAAUGAAAAACUUAGCUCAAUUUACAUAUAAAAAAGGGUUAAACUUCAUAUCCUAAAUUUUGUGAUAACCAAUGAUCUAACGUCAUAGUUUGUAUAAUUUGUUUUUUCUCAAGAUGCCACUAGAAACAACUUGACAGGGUAGAUAAAUAAGGAUAUCAUAAAUCCAUUCUAAUCCAUAGAAGUUUGAAAGAUUUGUUUUGAGUUCACUCCUCCCAUUUUGUGAUAAUCGUGAUCUAAUCUCAUAGUUUAUAUAAUUUUUUUUUCUCAAAGAUGACAAUAGGAGAGAGGAAUAAGGAUAUUAUAAAUCCAUCUAAUCCAUUGAAGUUUGAAGGAUUUGUUUUGAGUUCAUCCUCCCUAGCACUAUGAUAAUGAUACAUUCACAUGCACAAAAGAUCUCGGUAUACUGCUAAUGAUUUUGUGUGAUAUGAUAAAGAUGUUGUCGUUACAUAGAAAGUGAUUAUAGCGUUUGAUAUUUAUAAGAGAAAAAUUAUUUACACCUAUAAACUCUUUCAAAUUGUGUAGGCAAAGCUUAAAGAUGUGUCGAUUUCAAAAGUCGAAUGUGUCGAUCAUUGUAAUUAUCCGAUAAAUAUGGGUGAAUAAUGUUUUAAAAAAAUCAAUUUAAAAAUUAUCUCGGGGUCGAACACAUAAUUGUAAGGUAACAUUGUCAUGAUAAAAUAUCUUUGAGGGUAAAAUUGAAAAAAGAAAACCUUUAAUCCGCCAAAAUGAAUCCAUUAAAUAUCAUGUUCUUAUCCUAUGAUGGAAUUAGGCACCGAAAGGUGCCCUUGUUUUAUUAGAGACAGUCAGCCACAACAACUGAACUUGAACAAAAAGACAACUCGUUUAUUUUUUUUUUCUCAUGUCAAGUUUUCUAGGGAAUAUUCCUCAUGUUGCUCAUCAAUUGUUUGAUAAAAAAUUUCUAAGUAUAUUUUACCCGGUACUCUUAUGCGACAAUGGAAGUUUGGUGGACAUCAAUUCUUCACUUGAAAUUAAAUAUUGAGAAACAAAAAUCUCAAGUGAGCCAUGUUGGGAUGCCCACAUGUGGGAAUCUAAGCAUAUAUAUGAAAAUGGUUCACGGGUUAUGCAGACAACAGGAGGUUGGUUCAAAGGAUAAAUACAAAUGUGUGCUCUAAAUCAGGAGGCAUAAUAUUUUCUUUGUAUUGUCUCCAUUAUAAAGAUGAAGGUAUGCAGUGAUUUAAUAAGGAGACAUCUACUUAAAUAAAUGGUCUAACUUUUUAUCAACAAGGAGUAUGCUUCACUUAAAAACAAAUCAGGAUCAAUAUUGAUAAACGACAGCCCUCUAGUAAACAAACACACACACAAGCACAAUGUUUUCUACCAACCAUUUUCCUUCCCAUGAUUUAAAAUUCAUAAACUUAAUGGAGUUUGGCAUAGGAAGAUAACAUUUAGUAUUUGUUCUUCUAGUAAACACUAUUUAUUUGUUCCUUAAUUAGGGCUAUGUUUAAUUUCCAAAAAGAAUUAAGAAAAGAAAAAAAUAUUAAAAAAAGUGAUUUUUAUAUAUUUGGUUUCAAUAUAAAAAUUAGAAAAGAAAAUCAAUUAUAAUUAAAAUUAGUUAGAAAUUUAUAUAAAUUAUAUAGGAGAGGAAAAAUAAGUGAAAUGAGUUUGACGUAGCAUGUAAAAUAAUUUAUGGAUUUGAAGUCUACAUUUUAUUUUUUUUCACUUUUCCUUUGGAAAUUUUUUUGGUAUGAAACACUUAUGUUGAUAAAAUGAUUUGAACCAUUUAUUUGAAAAAUGGGUAUUUUGUUCCCUCUUUUUUUUUCUUUGAUCCGAUAUUGGUGAAUUGAUGACCUAUGUCUAUGUAUUAAGUAAGAAGAUUUUUUUUUUUAAUUUAAAAAAAAAAUAAAAGAAACAACUUUGCUAACAACUACAUAUGUUUGGUCAAAGGAGUCCUCUGAAAAUUCUAGCCUUGGAUUAGUGUGAUUAGUUUCGAUAUUCUUACCAUUUUUUUCUCUAUUUUUUUCCUCACAUUUUUUCUCAUAUUUUUUAAGAACCAAAUGUAACCUAUAUAGUUAUUAGAUUUUUAGGAUUUGAGUGUUUUUUUUAAUCCAUUUGUAGCUCUAAUAAAAAAAGAAAAAUGAAAAUAAAGGAGAAACAAAUUGGAGUAUUAUCCAACUUUUAAAAUUUGGAUUGAAUUAACUAAUAGUUUUAAUAAUAUAUUUAGUCUCUAAAAAAUACCAAGGAAAGAAAAAUAUCUUAAAAAAAUAAUCUUUUAAUAUUUGAAUACCAUAAAAAAAAAAGAUAAGAAAAAAAUAUUAAUAAAAGAUAGACAACUUGUUAAAAAAUUUUGUUCAUCACUUUCCCUAGAAAAAUGUGGUGAAAGUUUGGGAAAAGUGAGAACAUAAUAGGUUUUUUUUUUCCUUUCAAUUCUCAUUGAUAAUUAGAUAAGAGAAAAGUUUUCUAAUUUUACUUUAUUUGCAUUUUUUUCUCUUUUUCUUCAAUUAUUCUUAUAGUUUAAUGUUGCUAUCAAUAAAACUCACAAUAUAAACUAAUGGAUAGAAUAUUUGAAGGCAUUUGAUCAUAUGAAAGAUUUGGACAUGGACAUGUACAUGUACAUGAACAGCUUUAAAUAGUGACCAGUUGAACAGAAUAGAUGGUGAAUUAAAUAUAAAGAGUGAAUGAUGGAUGGAUGAAUGGAGACUGCAGAAGGUCCUAGGUUGGACCCAUCAGACAGCUGAUGCCUUCACUGGAUAGAGCUCAGAACCAAGAAUGAGUACUGCUGCUGGAGGCAUCAACAUCAACCAUUUAUUUGUUUGAAGCUUCAAACUAAUCUUAUGGUCAUGCUAUGCCCUGUGCCCAUGCUCCAUGGGCCACACUGCCAUGCCUCCUCAUUGUUAUAUCUUGAUGCUUAUCCUGUACCAUUCACCAAUAUUAACAACCUUCAUGCAUGAAGAAAAAAGAGAUUAUAAAUGAGGGUUUUUAAGCAUUUAUAAUGAGGAUGAUGACUUGGUUAAACCCACAAAACCAUGGAUUUGGUCAACAUUGAGUGAACAUGUGGUGUGGCCCUAAGGCCAUAUAUGGAUUAGGUCAACAUUCAAAACCAUAAAAAUGCGUCCACCUUGAUAUGGACAUGUGAAGUCCAACUCCAACUUGAAUGAUUCCACCAUCGUUAGCUUCUCCUUCUGGCCGACCGAGCGUAGCUAAGCUACCAUAUUUGCUGAAAUGGGAUCCUCUAAUGUGGUCCCAUCACUGGAACCUUCCUUUACGCCAUUCCUCUACCUGGCCUAGGGGGAUAUAUUGUAACCAUGCAAGCAACUGAAUAUUCUUUUCCCAUUUCUCUGCCCUGUCUUGAGAUAUAUUUAUGAAUCUUGAGCCCACAGCUGUAUGGGUGUUGGCUACUUUUGAAGUCCUUGACACAGUAAAUUAGUAUCUAUCAAGUAGAAGUAGUGAAACAUCAGUGAAGGAAAACGUCCUUUGGCUCCAGUAUUUUCCGCACAUUUGCUUAUUAAUUUGGUUAAUUAUUCAGUUGAUUGCAUGUUCAUAUUUGGUGGUUGAUUGGAUGAUACGUUUAAAAUAUUAACAUUAAUAUUGUUGAAGGGUAUUAUUCUAUACAUUGAGUCCAAGUCCAACAAGAUUAUACUUUUAAGAUAAUUGGUAGGUCAAUAUCUUACAAUAGCAUCAUUUAAUUUGCUUUUUAAUUUAUUGAGUUCAUGUAGAAGUCCAAAGAGAUUGCCCAUGGACUUGUAAUUAUGGGUGCCGCAUGUUCUCUCUCCAUAUGUGGAUAUAGGGGGGGCUGUAUAUAGGAGAGGAUAUUGAAGAGCAUGACGUACGUUAUGGGUCUAAACCCUAUAAAUUUAAGUUUUUAGGAAAAUUAAUAAUUUAAAAAACAUGUACCUAAAUUUUAUUAGAUUUAAUUUCAUAAAACUUGUCAACUAAUUUAAAAUUGUAAAUGUAGUGAUAGCUGGUAGAUAGUAAUAUUGUGAGAUUAAUUCAUUAAUUAAUUAAUAGAUACAUGGUAACAAAUGCAGGGUUAAGUGGAUAAAAUUGAAUAUUAGGAUAUGCUUGAAUUGCCAAAGUCAUUUGGAGAACAAACUCCUCAUUUGGAAAUAGGGGAAGUAGCAUAAAUAUGACAUUAUUCUUCAAAACCCUAUGGGUAGAAAACUGAAUUUAGAAACCUGAUAUCUUGAGACCCACAAUCAGGAGGAAAAUUUUAAUACCUAAAAUUUUCACAAUACAUGUUGAAUUUUAGUACUAUAGAAGGUUUCUGAAAAAUUGUCAGAAACAAUGGCUAAAAAUUGUAUUAAUGAUUGAGGAUUUAAAUGUUAUAAGAUUGAAGUUAUAAUUAUGGUCAAGGAGUUAAAAUUAGUACAAAGGUGGAAGAUUAAUUGUUAAAUGAGUGGUGGACAUUGUGGAUGAAAUAUAAUUGAUUGAAAAUUAGUUUUUGAAUUUGGGAUUUAUAGUUGGUUAUUUUAUGGGGGAAGAUUUGAAUUAGAGUAUGAGGAAUUUAAUCAUUUAAUUCUUGCUUGAUUGAGGAAUUGUUUAAGGUUUAAUGCUUGAGGAUUGAAUUUAGGCUUAUGGCUUGGGUGAUUAGGUUAAUGUGCUUGUGGUUAGUGUUAAAUUACCAUAGUUGGGAGGAACAAUACAUAUGCAUAUUGGUUCGGGCCAAAGAAGCAAUCUUUUUUUGUUUGUGAGGAUAUGUUUUUGAAUCCAUUGACAUUUUUCAGAAGCGUCAUCUUCUAACAAUAUAAACCUUGAUGCUCAAAAUAAACAUCAUCUUUAUUCAACCUUGACAUUUUUUAGCACUAGCAUUUGUAUGAAUUUCCCAUUUGAAGUUAAUGUUGGUGCUUACAUAAGAGUCAAUGAUAAAUAAAAUGUCAUUCUAUACUUACCAACAAUGUUGACCUCAUUACAAGUGUCAUAUUCUUAGAGUACCAAUUUGGAUGCUUGAAAGAAGCUUCAUCUUAUGUGACUCUUCAUUUCAAUGAUGAUAUUCACUUGUCUACCUUGAUUGUAAUUUGUAGAGCAUCAUUAUAUAUUUUAUAAUAAAGAAUACUACUACAUUUUGGAUUUCUUGACAUGUCAUUAUUUGUGUCCUAUUAUUAGAAUUUUCUAUAUAAAUUUCAUAUUAUUUUGCAAAAUAAGCCAAAUUAAACCUUAACAAAAUCAAAUUGAAGAUAUUCAUCAUACAAAAAUACCACCAAUAGUUCUCUUAAAAUUGUACAAUAAACAUGAUACAUUGAUUAUGAAUUUGGUUAACUUUUAUCUCAUUUCAAAUGUCGAUAUUAUAAGAUAUAAACAACUCAAAUAUAUACUUUUAGUGCUACUUUUUAAGAUUUUAGUUGUUCAUGGUCUUUUUUUUGCAAAUGAUCAUUGAUUUGUAUGCAAAUCAUGACUUUCUAUGAGUUCAAAAGAACUAUUUUGCAGAAGAAAAACAUAUAAACUAGUCCAGUUACACAUAUACUUAUGCUAGUGCAUUAUUUAGGAACUAAUGGUGGAAUUUCAAGAUUUUACAUAGAAAAAUAGGAAGAAAAAUCAUACUUUGGAUCAAAGAAAUGGGUAAGGAAAGACCAAAUGGAAAGACAGGAGAAUGGAGUUGAAAGAAACAAAUUUGUAGCUAGUAUCAAAAUGUAGAGCAACUUUUCACACUAUAAUUAUAAAAGUGAUUUCAUACUAAAUAAAUUAACAAAAAAAAAAAGGUAUCAAACUCAAAUUGAUACAUGAUUGUGGUGUCAAAUUGUGGAAGAAUGAUGGAGUUCUUAGGCAUUUCUCAAAUUGAUACAUAGAUGCCUUGUCAAAAUUCAAUUGACAUUGAGUUUUUGGUAUCAAUUCUUGGUAGUGUGAGGAGGUUUCUAGAGGAUACUUCCAAACCAUGUGCUUCAAUUGAUUUCAAAUUGAUAGGAGAGCUAGUUCAACAUGAACACUUUGUUUUAAAAUGUAACUCGACACCAAAGCAGAAAUGGAUGUUUAAGCCUUCUAUUGCCUUGUAUUGAUUUGGUCAAUUAUGGUAUCAAAAUUUUGGUAUUAGAUUGUUAUUUUUGCCCUUUUGCCCUUUUACCCUUUUACCAAAAUUUUGAUAUCGAGGGAUUGUAACUAACUUUGAUUUUGUUUUAAGAUAGUUUAUAUUACUUUAGGAGGGGUGGCAUUAGGGGAUUUUGCCACUUGCUUUUGAAACACUAUACAUAGGUUAGUUGUUAGUUGUUAAGAUUAUUAUUUUGAAAAUUAAUUUGAAAUUUCAUUAAUCAUGUUGGAAUAGCCUUGUAAAGCAAGACUUUUUUAGACUUAAUCAAUAUUGAUAAUUUAUUUAGUUAUUUUGUCAUGCAUACAUUUUAAUGGAUGUUUCAUUUACACUAUCGUUAUAAAUAUUUAGCCUAAUCAAUCACAUUGUAUAAAACAUGGAUGUAGGUGGAUACACAAAGACACAUUUGUGGGGUUCUUAUGUCUUGAUAAGCGACUUCCCAAUUGUUCAUGAGCAUAGACAACUUAGUAGAGGUUGUAGUCUAACACCUCCUUGAUUGGUAGGAUGACUUGUCUUAGUCAUUUAAGUGAGACUUUGAGGUGGAUGUGCUUGAUUACUACUCAAAACAUGCUAUUUGGUAGCUUGUUAUUAGCUAUUUUAAGCACCCUUGAGUAGUAAUUAUUACCUUUUAACUCAAUUAACAUGAUAGGGACCCUUGCAAUCGUUUCUAAUCAAUUUGUGUUAAGUUUUGGUGCUUUUUGAUAGCUUUAUGCUCACCAAAGCAAUUUAAGAAUGAGGAAGAGCUAUAUAUAAUUCAUGGCAAAGCUUUUGGAAGCUCAAAUUUAAGAAGAAACCAAGCUUUGGAGCCUCAUAAUCCUUUGCCUUAGUCGUUCAAAGUAUGCAAGGAAAGAACAAUGGAGAAGAGGAAAACAGGGUGAUGAAAACAGGGGACACAGCUGCAGUCUUUCAUCGCACUUUUGGAGCACUUCCCGAAGUCCAUUUUCUACAUUCUAUAUACCAUUUCAAAGCUCAGAAAGUCAAGAAUCCAAUUAUUCAAACCAUGUACGAUUUGGAGCUGAAAUGAGGAAGAUAUGGCCUCUGGAAGACAACUGCAUCAAGCUGAGGGACAAUUUCACACGAUGGAAAUCAAGGUGCGAAUUCCUCAGUCCAAAGUGUGGGAAUUUCGCACACCUGAAACCAAAGUGCGAAAUUGGAACUGCAACGUGCGAAAAUUGGAUAUUUUUGCCGACUCUUUUUCUUCUGAUAUUUUUGUGUCUAAAUUUCCAUUUUCUCCUUGUAUUCAGCCACUCAUGUAAUUCCUUAGCUAGCAAGUAUCCAAGGAAGGGUAAAAUUACCUUCCUAUAUAAAUUCUCUUGUAAACACUGAAGAGCACUCUCGGGGAGCUUUCUCCAAGAGACCAACUGAUGUAAAUUCUACACUUAGUGAAAUACAGAGAUCUCUUUUGCUUUCUUUUUCUCUCUACUAUUUUCUAUUUUCUUGGAAGCCAAACAGCCUCUGAGGAUGUUUUCCCAGAGGAUGAGAAGCUAAACUUAUAGUUUCUUGGAGUAAAGGAAGCUAGGUGAAAAGUCCAGAUUAAAAGGUGGAGCGUUUCCGUGCAUUAAAUUCAGGUGGUUGGAGUCCAUAAAUGGUUUCUAAAUUCAAAGUUUUGCUUUAAAUCCCUUAGAAUCACUUUGACUAGCCAAUACAUGGUAAGCUUCAGGUCUCUAUGGAUGCUUAUUGCUAGAUCCAUAUCAGUCCAUUAGUUAUCAUGUACGAGCUAGUGGAAAGUGAUUCAAGGUGAUAACCCAUAGUGUCUUAAGCCAUUAAUGGAUCUCGACUACCAUCUCUAUUGACUUUUUAUGGAUUAAAUCUUCAUUGUCAAACCUAUACCGGUUUGGGAAAUAACUAUAGGUUAAAUCCCCAAUGCGAGGAGAAAAAUCCAGAAUUUUCCACUUUGCAUCCUGAACUUGAACCUAGCAACCUUUAGCUCCGGGAGACUUUCUUUCUUCUAUUUUUACUUAGUUUUAUGUGAGUUUAGUUUCAAUCACCACUUUCAAAACAAUUUUAUUUUCUUUUAAAUUUCAAGUUUGUGCUAAAGGAAAUCAUCAGAAUCAAUUUCUAAUUUAGAGUCUGUCAUUGAUAGAGUGAAAACCCAUCCCUGAGUUCGACCCUAGAACUGCUAUACUAUAGUAGCUUUGCUACGCCAGUAUAAGGUCAUAGGAUUUAUAAAUGUUUUUGAUUAAAAGACCCGGCUGGGCAAUGAAUCAAAUGGCGCCGUUGCCGGGGAUGGUGCCACAAUACAGUGAUGCAACCUUUUAGAGGCUACUUGUGAAUCCAUCACAAGUUUGGUGAAUUCCUUUUUCAUUAACUUCAUUUCCUUUCAUUUUCCUUUUGUUAAGUUUAUUUUCGUUUUCUUCCUAACCUUAAUUUUUUUUCUAGGUUUCUUUUGUUUUUGUUUUAUUUCAGGUAAGUAGUAACUUGUGCAUGCCCUAUUGGAUCAGGGACCAAGAGGGAAGAUUAGUAAGGAUUGAGAAUCCUCAAGACACAGAGUUGGAUAUCUGUGUAAACAUCAUGGACCCUCCACCAGAGGAUCAGAAUUCUCAACAAGGUCAAGGGGGUAAUCCCAAUGCAUAUCUAUCCAUGAGGGAUAGAAUGCAUCCACCAAGGAUGAGUGCACCCUCAUGCAUCCUACCCCCUCUUGAGCAGUUGGUUAUAAGGCCCCAUAUUGUGCCCCUCCUACCAAAUUUCCAUGGAAUGGAGAGUGAGAAUCCAUAUGCUCACAUCAAGGAGUUUGAGGAGGUGUGUAAUACCUUUAGAGAGGGAGGAGCUUCAAUAGACUUGAUGAGACUCAAGCUAUUCCCUUUCACUUUGAUAGACAAGGCAAAAAUAUGGCUUAAUUCUUUAAGGCCAAGGAGCAUAAGGAAUUGGGUUGAUCUUCAGGCUGAGUUUUUGAAAAAAAUUUUCCCCACCCAUAGGACCAAUGGGUUGAAGAGGCAAAUCUCAAACUUUUCUGCAAAAGAAAAUGAGAAGUUCCAUGAAUGUUGGGAAAGGUAUAUGGAAGCCAUCAAUGCUUGUCCUCAUCAUGGUUUUGAUACAUGGCUCUUAGUGAGCUAUUUUUAUGAAGGAAUGUCUUCUUCCAUGAAGCAAAUUCUUGAAACCAUGUGUGGGGGAGAUUUUAUGAGUAAGAAUCCUGAAGAAACCAUGGACUUUUUAAGUUAUGUGGCUGAGGUGUCAAGAGGCUGGGAUGAGCCCAACUCAAGAGAGAAAAGAAAGUUUCCCUCUCAACAAACCCAAAAUCCAAAGGCUGGAAUGUACAUGUUGAGUGAAGACGUGGACAUGAAAGCUAAAGUGGCAACAUUAGCUAGGAGGUUAGAAGAACUUGAGUUGAAAAAGAUGCAUGAAGUCCAAGCCAUUUCCGAUACCCAAGUUCAUGUCAUGCCAUGCACCAUUUGCCAAUCAUGUGAUCAUGUGGUAGAUGAGUGCCCAACCAUGCCAGCAGUGAGAGAAAUGUUAGGUGAUCAAGUAAAUGUUGUGGGGCAAUUUAGGCCCAACAACAGUGCAUCCUAUGGUAACACCUAUAAUUCAAGCUGGAGAAACAAUCCAAAUUUUUCUUGGAAACCAAGACCACCUCCAUACCAACCGUAAGCCCAAACUCAAGCACCUCAACAAACCUCUUCAGUGGAGCAAGCCAUUGCAAACCUAAGUAAAGUCAUGAAUGACUUUGUGGGUGAACAAAGGGCAAUCAACUCCCAAUUGCACCAAAAGAUUGAGAAUGUUGAGAGUUCUCUAAAUAAGAGAAUGGAUGGGAUGCAAAAUGAUCUAUAUCAUAAGAUAGAUAAUAUUCAGUACUCCAUCUCUAGACUUACCAACCUCAACACAGUGAAUGAGAAGGGAAAGUUCCCCUCUCAACCAAGCUAAAAUCCCAAGGGUGUUCAUGAAGUUGAAACCCAAGAUGGUGAGUCUUCAAAUUUGAGAGGGGUCAAAGCUGUGAUCACCUUGAGGAGUGGAAAGGAGGUUGAUCAACCCUUGCCUAAGGUGAGGCAAGAUGAAGAACUCAUGUCAAAGAGACCUUUGAUUAAAGAGAGCAAUAGCCAAGAAGAGCAGAGUGGGAAGAAAAGUACAUCCAAAUCAAGCACUGAAGAAGAACCAAGGAUAGUGAUUAAGGAGGAUAUGAUGAAAAAACAUAUGCCUCCCCCUUUUCCUCAAGCUUUACAUGGAAAGAAAGAAAUCAAGAAUUCAUCAGAAAUUCUUGAGGUUCUGAGACAAGUGAAGGUGAAUAUACCCUUACUUGAUAUGAUCAAGCAAGUCCCCACAUAUGCAAAGUUUCUAAAGGACUUGUGCACAGUCAAGAGAGGGUUACAGGUGACAAAGAAUGCAUUCCUCACUGAACAAGUGAGUGCUAUCAUUCAGAGUAAGUCCCCAGUUAAGUAUAAAGAUCCGGGAUGUCCCACCAUAUCAGUUAACAUUGGAGGGACACAUGUGGAGAAAGCUUUACUAGACUUGGGGGCAAGUGUGAAUUUGCUCCCAUACUCUGUGUAUAAGCAACUGGGACUUGGAGGAUUGAAGCCCACAACCAUGACCCUCUCCUUAGCUGAUAGGUCAGUCAAAAUCCCAAGAGGGGUGAUAGAGGAUGUUCUAGUUCAAGUAGACAAAUUCUACUACCUUGUUGAUUUUGUGGUACUUGAUACUGAUUCCACUAUCAAGGAAGAAAAUUAUGUGCCAAUCAUCCUAGGGAGGCCUUUCCUCGCUACCUCCAAUGCUAUCAUUAAUUGUAGGAAUGGGGUGAUGCAGCUCACAUUUGGAGACAUUGGAAUUAAACAUAUUCCACCUAUGCAAGAGGCAUCUUCACCCUGAAGAGGAGGAAGGAUUUGAGGAGGUAUGCUUGAUCAACACUUUGGUCGAAGAGCACUGUGACAAGAAUUUAGAAGAGAGCUUGAAUGAAAGCCUGGAAGUGCUUGAAGAUGGGUUCCCUGAACCCUCUGAUGUGCUAGCCAUUAUGUCUCCUUGGAGGAGACGGGAAGAGAUCUUACCACUGUUCAACCAGGAAGACUCACAAGGAGUUGCUGUGGAUGACCAUCCAAAGCUUAUUUUAAAGCCAUUUCUUGUGGAUUUGAAGUAUGCAUACUUGGAGGAUGAUGAGAAAUGUCCAGUGGUGGUUUCCUCAACUCUCACUAGUGAUAAAGAGGAUAGUCUUUAGGAGUCCUCAGAAAAUGCAAGAAAGCCAUUGGAUGGCAAAUUUCUGAUCUGAAAGGGAUUAGCCCUUUGGUCUGCACCCACCAUAUCUAUAUGGAAGAGGAUGCAAAACCAGUGAGGCAACCCCAGAGGAGACUGAAUCCUCACAUGCAAGAGGUGGUGAGGGGUGAAGUUCUUAAGCUACUUCAAGCUGGGAUCAUAUAUCCCAUCUCAGACAGCUUGUGGGUGAGUCCCACCCAAGUAGUCCCAAAGAAAUCUGGAAUUACUGUAAUCCAGAAUGAGAAAGGGGAGGAAGUCUCUACACGUCCUACCUCAGGAUGGAGGGUGUGUAUAGACUAUAAGAGGUUGAAUUCAGUAACUAGGAAGGAUCAUUUUCCAUUGCCUUUCAUGGACCAAGUCCUUGAGAGAGUCUCAAGACAUCCUUUCUAUUGUUUUCUAGAUGGUUAUUCAGGGUACUUCCAAAUAGAAAUUGAUUUGGAAGAUCAAGAAAAGACAACCUUCACUUGCCCCUUUGGUACUUUUGCAUAUAGGAGAAUGCCCUUUGGUCUAUGUAAUGCUCCUGCAACUUUCCAAAGAUGUAUGCUAAGCAUCUUCAGUGAUAUGGUGAAACGCAUCAUGGAAGUUUUCAUGGAUGAUAUCACUGUAUAUGGAAGUUCUUAUGAGGAGUGUUUAUUGCAUUUAGAAGCUAUUCUCCAUAGAUGUAUUGAGAAAGACCUAGUGCUAAAUUGGGAGAAGUGCCAUUUUAUGGUACAAAAAGGAAUUGUCUUAGGACAUAUCAUCUCCAAGAAUGGCAUUGAGGUAGAUAAGGCAAAGGUGGAGCUAAUUGUUAAGUUGCCACCUCCCACAAAUGUUAAAGGAAUUAGGCAAUUCCUAGGACAUGCCGGGUUCUAUAGGAGGUUCAUUAAGGAUUUCUCAAAAAUCUCAAAACCUCUUUGUGAACUCUUGGUAAAGGAUGCCAAGUUUGUGUGGGAUGAGAAGUGUCAGAGGAGUUUUGAGGAAUUGAAACAAUUCCUCACAACUGCACCAAUAGUGAGAGCCCCAAAUUGGAAAUUACCUUUUGAGGUAAUGUGUGAUUCAAGUGAUCUUGCUAUGGGGGCUGUUUUGGGGCAAAGAGAAGAUGGAAAGCCCUAUGUGAUUUAUUAUGCAAGCAAAACUUUGAAUGAGGCUCAAAGGAACUACACAACUACUGAGAAGGAGUUGUUGGCAGUAGUUUUUGCCUUGGAUAAGUUUCGUGCUUAUUUGGUAGGGUCCUCUAUAGUGGUGUUCACUGACCAUUCUGCUUUGAAAUACUUGCUAACCAAGCAAGAUGCCAAGGCAAGAUUGAUAAGAUGGAUUCUUUUGCUCCAAGAAUUCAAUCUCCAAAUCCGGGAUAAAAAAAGGGUAGAAAAUGUGGUAGCUGACCACUUGUCCAGACUUGUGAUAGCACAUGACUCACAUGGUCUGCCUAUCAAUGAUGACUUCCCUGAGGAGUCUCUCAUGUCAAUAGAUGUAACUCCAUGGUAUUCUCACAUUGCAAACUUUUUAGUUACCGGAGAAGUACCAAGUGAGUGGAGUGCCCAAGAUAAGAGGCAUUUUUUUGCCAAGAUCCAUGCCUAUUAUUGGGAGAAGCCUUUUUUUUUUAAAUAUUGUGCGGAUCAAAUCAUAAGGAAAUGUGUUCCUGAGCAAGAACAAUUGGGAAUUCUUUCCCAUUGCCAUGAUAGUGCAUGUGGAGGUCAUUUUGCCUCCCAGAAAACAACUAUGAAAGUAAUCCAAUUAGGCUUCUGGUGGCCCUCUUUUUUCAAAGAUGCCCACUCUAUAUGCAAGGGAUGUGAUCGGUGUCAAAGGCUUGGUAAGCUAACACGUCGAAAUAUGAUGCCCUUGAACCCCAUCCUAAUAGUGGAUAUCUUUGAUGUUUGGGGGAUAGACUUCAUGGGACCAUUUCCAAUGUCAUUUGGACAUUCCUACAUUUUGGUGGGAGUGGAUUAUGUCUCUAAGUGGGUAGAAGCAAUCCCAUGUAGGAGCAAUGAUCAUAAGGUGGUUCUUAAAUUCCUCAAGGACAACAUCUUUACAAGAUUUGGAGUGCCAAAGGCCAUUAUAAGUGAUGGGGGAACCCACUUUUGCAAUAAACCUUUUGAGACUCUUCUAGCCAAGUAUGGGGUUAAGCACAAGGUAGCUACACCUUAUCACCCUCAAACAAGUGGCCAAGUUGAGUUAGCCAACCGUGAGAUCAAAAAUAUAUUGAUGAAGGUGGUCAAUGUGAAUAGGAAGGAUUGGUCUAUCAAGCUCCUGGAUUCCUUAUGGGCUUAUAGGACCGCUUACAAGACCAUUUUAGGAAUGUCUCCCUAUCGCCUUGUUUAUGGCAAAGCGUGUCAUCUUCUAGUGGAGAUUGAGUAUAAAGCAUGGUGGGCAAUCAAAAAGCUCAACAUGGAUUUGACAAGAGCCGGGUUAAAGAGAUGUUUGGAUUUGAAUGAAUUGGAGGAAAUGAGGAAUGAUGCAUACCUCAAUUCAAAAAUUGCAAAAGCAAGGUUAAAAAAAUGGCAUGAUCAAUUGGUAAAUCAGAAGAAUUUGACCAAAGGACAAAGAGUUUUGCUUUAUGAUUCUAAACUUCAUCUCUUUCCAGGAAAAUUGAAAUCCAGGUGGACGAGUCCUUUCAUAAUUCAUGAAGUGCAUCCCAACGGAGUGGUGGAAGUAUUCAAUCCCACAGGCAAUCAAACCUUCAAAGUCAAUGGCCAUCGUCUCAAGCCAUUCAUAGAGCCUUAUAGUACAGACAAGGAGGAGAUCAACCUCCUUGAACCACAACAACUCUGAUGAAAAGCAGGGUAUCAUGGACUAAAUAAGUCCAUGAAUUUUUUGUUAUAGUUUUAUAAUUAUAUCAUUAUUUUUGUUUCUUUUGAUUAUAAUUUUUCCUCAAACUUAGUUUAUUUUGUCUUAAUUCAAGUCAAUUUUGAUGAUAAAUUUCAGAAAAAAAUCAAGAAAAAGGUGGAGAACUCUUCAAAAGCAAGACAGGGGAGCAAAACCAAGGGAACAGAGCACUGCAUUUCAAGGUGCGAAAAUUUCGCACGAUGCAUUUCAAGGUGCGAAUUCCUUAGUCGAAAGGGUGGCAAUUUCGCACACCUCAAAACAAGGUGCGAAAUUGAAAGCAAGGUGCGAAAUCCCCUGUUCAAGGUGCGAAUUCCCCAAAUGCCAUUUUCGCACACCACUAUUCAAGGUGCGAAAAUUUUCGCACCGUGCGAAAUCCCCUCCUGGCACACGAGUGCCAUUUUCGCACACCUCAAGCCAAAUUUCGCACCGUGCGAAACAAGGUGCAAAAUUUUCGCACAGUGCGAAAUUGAGUGCGAAAUUGAUUUCAAGGUGCGAAAACCACUGUCCAAAGGGUACCAUUUUCGCACACUUAAAUCCAAGGUGCGAAAAUUUCGCACGGUAAAAUUUUAAGUUCCAAAAAUUUUAAACUGACUUUUAAAUUAAAAUUUUACCCCCGAAAAUGUGCCUAACGUCCAAAAACGACUUUUCGGUUGCCUUGGAAAUUUUUAAACAUCAAAACCCCCCAGACCCCAUCCCUAUAUAAACCCUUGAAGCCCUGAAACUCAAAAGACUCCCCCGCGCACCAGCUGAGAAGCCUCUGGAAUCCUGAACAGCCACCUCCCUUCAUUUCGACCAUGGCAAAGACCAGAGGAGGCCUUUCCGCCUCCCCAUCAUCACCGACGCCUCGACCACAGCAAGCCACCAUGGGAGGCGCCGCUUCGCCACCUGUUCAGGCCUCGACCAUUUCCCCAUCUGAGAGGGGAACCCCUUCUCAGCGUCGAUACCCCACCAGGAGGCCACCCACUGAACCUGUGCCUCCUGCCGACCAACCUCAGAGACCUGCUUCUCGACCCCUUGCGAAGAGAACUAAGUUCUCGGGUCUUGGAGAGCCAUCCCAUGCGCCUCAGGCAGAGCCGCCUACAGAGGAACCUCGGAUUCCUGUGGGGAUUCCUCCCGAGACCGUUAUCAGGCAUCCCAUGAUAGCCAGACCACCGAUAGAGGGCAACCUGGAUUGCCGAGAUCGAUCAUUCCACUCCGAGACCUACUUUGAUAUAGAGGCCCUCAGACAGCAGCCAGAGCUCAGAGAUUCAUUCUGACUGCUGCAGAGGUAUCACAUGGAGCAUUUUCUCACUCCUAGACAAUUCUAUUAUCCCAGAGUAGUUCUAGAUUUUUAUCAAUCUAUGACUACUCGAGGCCUCCGCAAUCCUACUCUUAUCCAAUUUACCAUAGACGGACGCCAGGGUGCCAUUGGAGCUCGCCACAUUGCAGAGGCCCUCCGUAUACCUUAUGAGCCUGUGAUUCAGGCAAACUUCAGGGAGUGGUCCUCAUUCUCUCAGAGCGACAUGGUCCGUAUCUUGUCCAGGGGGACUUCUACAGCCUCAGUGUUGACUAGGAGAAAGCUUCCAUCUGGGAUGCUCCUUAUUGAUGUGCUCCUGCGUGCCAACAUCUUCCCACUUCAGCAUAAAGUUCAGAGGAGAGGAGCUAUACUUGAGGCAUUAUUUAGGAUUUCUAAGGGCUAUUACUUCGGCCCUCAUCAUUUGAUUAUGACUUAUCUUCUUCAUUUUGAAGAGAAAGUCCAUCAGAAGAAGCUUUAGAGGGCAGAUGGCAUCCCAUUAUUAUUUCCGAGGCUCCUUUGUCAGAUUUUAGAGCACCUGGGCUAUCCUGAAGAGCCCCGCCUUGAGAGGCGCCGCCAUUGCCGAGAGGACUUCUCUCUCGACAAAUGGCAUCACUUGACAGCCUACUUUGCAGCUCAGGGAGCCCCAGCUGUACCUGCACCUCCAGAGCUACCCCGAGAUGAGCAACUACCUCAGGCCUAGCAGGAUGAGAUUCUCACAGACACCACACCUCCUGCCCCUACAGCACACACCUCAGUGCAUAUGCCUGAGGCUAUACAUCCUACUUCUCCUCUCACUCAGGGUGCUCCACCAGUAGUGCCAGCUACCCCAACACCUCUUCCUUCAUCUGAGCCCACUGUCACCGUUUCUCUUACGGAAUUCAGAGGCUUAGUGCAUUCAUUGCAGACACUGAGCACUGCUCAGGAUUCUAUUAUCCAGCAGAUGGCCACUAUUCGUGCGCACUAGGAUCAGAUCAUGGCUACUCAGGCCCAGCAUACCACGAUCCUUUAUCAGAUCCAGCAGCAUCUGAGUAUGCAGACACCUCUUGGGCAUGAUAGGUCUGCACCAUCCGAGCCUCUAGUGCCAGAUGAGGAGACCAUACCAGCUGAGCAGCCCAUAUCAGCUGAGGAGAUCAGAGCAGGCCAUCACAUGAUCCCACUACUAUCUGAUCUUUUUAUGUUUUACUUGUUUUUAUAUAUUAGACUUGUAAAUCCCAUCUUUUUCAUGUUUAUAAACUGGGAUUGGAUAUAUUACUGGAACAUCAUGCAUUGUAUAUUUCUUUUCCAAGUAAAUAUAUAUAUAUAUAUAUAUAUCCUUUUUGAUUAUAUUUCCUUUUCUCAUUACUCUUUUGUCUUUGGAACAUGUGGUUUAAGGUAUUCCAUACCUCCUAUACACUCAGACUUUGAACCACAAGAGGUACCACUUCCUCCCUUUUCUUUUAAAUCGCUCUUUAAACAUUGAGGACAAUGUUUAGCUUGGUUGGGGGGAGAGUUGAGAAAGGAAGUUUUGUUGUUAAUACUAAGUUAUUUUGGUAAUUUAGUUGAUUUCUGCUUAAAGUUUAAAAUUUUUUAAAAAGUUUUUUUGAAUCAUUCUCUAUGUUUGUUAAAGAUAAUUUCUCAAAAAUAAAAUAGGAUAAGUCGAGUUUUAACUUAAUUAUUUAAGUCUUAUAGUUUGUUUUAUGCUUUCAAAGUUAAUAAUCUAUUGAAGCCCUCUUUGAUUUCAAACUUAUUUCUUCCAUUUCAAGCUUUACACACACUGUGCACAUUAGAUCCCGGAUAUAUGAUGUAAAAAUUUCCCACCUUCUAAGCUUAGGAAAAUUUUGACUUGGUUCAUUACAUAACCUCUCUUUAAUAGUGUUGGGACACCUCAUAAAGACCAAUGAGUCUUUGAAAAAAAAAAAAAAGAGAAUAAGCUUCUUUUCUUUCCUUGAAACCUAAGCAUGAUCCGAAGGGGUGGCAAAAGCCUUUAAAGCCCGAUGCCCUAAACCUUGAUUGGUUGGGAGUCAUCGAUCCUCUGCUUGCUACAUAGGUGAAUUGGUUAAGUUUAGUGAGUAAAAAGAAUUGUGAAUAAGAAGGUGCGUUCCUAACCUAAUAAGAGUUAGUUAAUUUUGCCAAUGUUCGAGAAAAGCUUAGGUUGGAGGGAGAGGAUAGUUGUACAUACUAUAUCCGGAAGCUAAUCUCAUUAACACUUAGCUCAUUAUGGAAGAGUUUGAUUUGGAACCUUGAGAGUAGAGAUUCUUUUGAUACUUAAUUGCAUAAUCUCCACUCUUUGUACUUUUUGUUUAAGUUUUAGUUUUGACAACUCCUAUUGUAUUUUGAAUCUUCAUAUCUUUAGUUUACCAUGUGAGAUGUGUUUUGAUAUCAGUCAUGCCACUCAAUUAUUUUUUGGAAUGAUUUGCAUGACCUCUUUUAUGUAUAUUAUUACGUUUGCUUAGUUUUUCUCUCCUUAAUUGCUAAGGGACUAGCAAUAUGUCGGUUGGGGGGAGUGAUUACUACUCAAAACAUGCUAUUUGGUAGCUUGUUAUUAGCUAUUUUAAGCACCCUUGAGUAGUAAUUAUUACCUUUUAACUCAAUUAACAUGAUAGGGACCCUUGCAAUCGUUUCUAAUCAAUUUGUGUUAAGUUUUGGUGCUUUUUGAUAGCUUUAUGCUCACCAAAGCAAUUUAAGAAUGAGGGAGAGCUAUAUAUAAUUCAUGGCAAAGCUUUUGGAAGCUCAAAUUUAAGAAGAAACCAAGCUUUGGGGCCUCAUAAUCCUUUGCCUUAGUCGUUCAAAGUAUGCAAGGAAAGAACAAUGGAGAAGAGGAAAACAGGGUGAUGAAAAUAGGGGACACAGCUGCAGUCUUUCAUUGCACUUUUGGAGCACUUCCCGAAGUCCAUUUUCUACAUUCUAUAUACCAUUUCAAAGCUCAGAAAGUCAAGAAUCCAACGAUUCAAACCAUGUACGAUUUAGAGCUGAAAUGAGGAAGAUAUGGCCUCCGGAAGACAACUGCAUCAAGCUGAGGGACAAUUUCGCACGAUGGAAAUCAAGGUGCGAAUUCCUCAGUCCAAAGUGUGGGAAUUUCGCACACCUGAAACCAAAGUGCGAAAUUGGAACUGCAACGUGCGAAAAUUGGAUAUUUUUGCCGACUCUUUUUCUUCUGAUAUUUUUGUGUCUAAAUUUCCAUUUUCAGCCACUCAUGUAAUUCCUUAGCUAGCAAGUAUCCAAGGAAGGGUAAAAUUACCUUCCUAUAUAAAUUCUGUCGUAAACACUGAAGAGCACUCUCGGGGAGCUUUCUCCAGGAGACCAACUGAUGUAAAUUCUACACUUAGUGAAAUACAGAGAUCUCUUUUGCUUUCUUUUUCUCUCUACUAUUUUCUAUUUUCUUGGAAGCCAAACAGCCUCUGAGGAUGUUUUCCCAGAGGAUGAGAGGCUAAACUUAUAGUUUCUUGGAGUAAAGGAAGCUAGGUGAAAAGUCCAGAUUAAAAGGUGGAACAUUUCCGUGCAUUAAAUUCAGGUGGUUGGAGUCCAUAAAUGGUUUCUAAAUUCAAAGUUUUGCUUUAAAUACCUUAGAAUCACUUUGACUAGCCAAUACAUGGUAAGCUUCAGGUCUCUGUGGAUGCUUAUUGCUAGAUCUAUAUCAGUCCAUUAGUUAUCAUGUACGAGCUAGUGGAAAGUGAUUCAAGGUGAUAACCCAUAGUGUCUUAAGCCAUUAAUGGAUCUCGACUACCAUCUCUAUUGACUUUUUAUGGAUUAAAUCUUCAUUGUCAAACCUAUACCGGUUCGGGAAAUAACUAUAGGUUAAAUCCCCAAUGCGAGGAGAAAAAUCCGGAAUUUUCCACUUUGCAUCCUGAACUUGAACCUAGCAACCUUUAGCUCCGGGAGACUUUCUUUCUUCUAUUUUUACUUAGUUUUAUGUGAGUUUAGUUUCAAUCACCACUUUCAAAACAAUUUUAUUUUCUUUUAAAUUUCAAGUUUGUGCUAAAGGAAAUCAUCAGAAUCAAUUUCUAAUUUAGAGUCUGUCACUGAUAGAGUGAAAACCCAUCCCUGAGUUCGACCCUAGAACUGCUAUACUAUAGUAGCUUUGCUACGCCAGUAUAAGGUCAUAGGAUUUAUAAAUGUUUUUUAUUAAAAGACCCGGCUGGGCAAUGAAUCAGUGCUAGUGUGCAUGUAUUGCACAUUAAAUAGGACCUAUAGUUAAUGUUCCUUAUGCUAUCAAGUUGACAUAUUAAAUCUUCAAGCUACGAUCUUGUAUAAAUUGUUAACCUUGAGAAAUAUUCAAGUUAGUGAUUGAAUUGGUAGUCACUUUGAGUCAUAGAUAAGUGAGACCCUUGUGGACCCUCACCCACUCCAACGACCGACUCGACUCACUAUUUUAAAGGUGAAAGGGAAAGCUGGUUUUCGAGUUUUGAAAAAUUCGUCCCAAUGAGGAACGAUUUUGUUUGGAGUCGCCACUUACUUUUUAUUUUUAUUUUUAAAUGGGGAAAAUUUAAGUAAGAAAAAAAACCCCAGCAUGCCUCCAGUUAGGAAAAAACGGUCCGCGAAAACUAGAUUCUGGGUCCAAGGAUCAGGUUAUCUAUCGGGAAGGUACCUCAUGCGAAGUAGCACCCCUCUAGGCCCAUAAUUCGGUCUCUACUAAUGAACUAGGUAAAUGGGAGCAUAUGGGUCAAAGAUCAAACAAACCUUGGGCUAAAAAAAUGACAUGAAUCACAUAGAACCGCCUAGUAUUUAGCAUGCACAUACACUCAACAAGUCAAAAUCAGAGUGCAUACCUGAGGUCCCCAGCCAAGCGUUGCAUAAAAGGUCAGUCUAUAAGCUCAAAUGCACAACAAAUAUACAUAGCAAUCAUGCACCAAGCAUUCAUGUGAAUUUCAUUAUCCAAAGCCGAAGUGCAUACCCAUGGUCCCUAGCCAUGCGCUACAAGGAAAAUGUGAGGCAAGUAAUACAAGAAUCCAACAUGCACUCUCAAUCAAGCAUCAAAUCUCAUACCCAAAAGGGAGGGAAGUAGGUCAAAAUGAAAUAAAUGGUUUACUUUCUUUUGCGCACAUUCCUCUAAAUUCCAUCAAACCAAACCAUGCUCGCUUAAUCCACAUUCUUCCUAUCCAUGAAGUGGGCUCACAUGAAAUCUAACCAAACCGAAAUCUGACCCUAAAAGUGGCCCAAAAGUUCCCUGGAUCCUAAGGGCUCAAGACACAACAAAAAUGGGGGUCAAAACAUGCUAAAACUAGGGCUGCCUAGUAGAACCUAUUGAACCGGUUCCCAACCAGUUCAACUGAUUGAGAAAAAUUCUGAAACUUUACCAUAAAAUUUCUCAAAGAAUAAGGAAGCAAAAAAAAAAAAAAAAGGGCUUUCAAUUCUGAGCCUGGAUGAGGGAGAACUGGCCGAAACAAUGCAAUGUGUUUAUAAAACGGGGCUGCCAAGAAUAACCUGUUGAACUGGUUCCCAACUAGUACAAAUGAUUGAGAAAAAUUCUGAAACUUUACCAAAAGAUUCCUUGAAGAAUAAGGAAUCAAAAAAAAAAAAAAAACGGCGCUCAAUUCCAAGCCUGGAUGAGGGAGAACCGGCCAAAACAAUGCAAGGUGUUCCUUAUAGAAGACCAAACCCGAACCACCCAACCUUAUUAAAACUAAGGCCAUAGAGCUCAUUGAUCAACCAACAAUGCAGCCCCCCUAAACUCAAGAAACCCAACUGGAAAUUAGGCCAUAUGGACAUCCACAUGUGGCCACCUAAAUCCCUUGAAACCAAACUGAAAUUUCAUUCACCUAAAGCCUCCUACCUACAGCAACUUAAAUCCCAUGGAACAAAUUGAAAUUUUAGCCUCCUAUAGCCUAUGAAUCCAGCUGAAAUUCAACCACCUAAAGCCCCCCCCCCCCCCCAAUGCAGCUACUGGAAUCACCAAGAAGCAAACUGAAAUUUCAGCCACAUGGAACCUCUACAUGUAGCCACAAGACCUGGGGUUUAAGUCCAGAUUUUUAAUGGGUAGCCCCAAAUUAAAAAACAGAGAAGGUCAUGGAGACCUUUUCUCAAUACCAAGCAAAGGAGGUUUCAAGAAAAACCAAGUGGCAUAAACACCCAUACCAACAUAGCACCUGAAUCUAGCACAAGAAUCCUUCUCUUAACAAUCAAGAAGUCACAAUGACCUUCAACCAAAACAAAAACUAAUGAAGGCAGUGACCCUAUUACUCACACAUCAAAAGUAGGUCACUUCCUCCCCAUUCCUGAUUAUAACCAACCCAAAAUGAGACAUCCACAGCAAACAUAAAAAAUGAAACCAUGCAACAGUUACAUAUCAAGAGCAUCCCUAAAGUGACUGUUAAAAAAACAAGUAGGAAGAAUCAUGAGCAGUGCAUAAUUUCUCUUUUAUGCCAUAAAAUUAAAGGAUAAAAACAACAAUCCAAAAGAAUAUGCCUGAGAACCUCUUUCCCAAGAUGAGCAUGAAAGCUGAGAUAUUCAAAAGUGGAAAAAAAAAUUAUAAACCUGGAGCUCCAUUCAUGAACAUCAUGUAUUGACAAGGGGUGCAACUCAACACACAAUUAGCAAAGCAAACAGAAUACAACUUACAACUAGAGUGAGGACAAUAAAGCAAAUUCCUAUUUCUCAAAGGAAAACUCAAAACAGAGCCAUGCCAUUCUAAAUUGAUGUAGGGAGAAACAUAUCAACCAAACUAUGAACUGAGAAAUAGAUCAAAAGAAAACAAAUAAGAACAAUACCAAAUCUUCAAACACUCUUUAUUUGAAGCAACCAUAGAAGUUUCAACAGUAUCUUAAAUAGAGAAGAAAAUCUAAAAGGAAAGGAAUGAGAUACCAGAAUC
rnacentral:lncRNA from 1 species